rnacentral:rRNA from 1 species
AGCGAAUCCCAAAAAUAACGUCCCAGUUCGGACUGUAGUCUGCAACCCGACUACACGAAGCUGGAAUCGCUAGUAAUCGCGAAUCAGAACGUCGCGGUGAAUACGUUCCCGGGUCUUGUACACACCGCCCGUCACACCAUGGGAGUCGGGAAUGCCCGAAGCCGGUGACCCAACCGAAAGGAGGGAGCCGUCGAAGGCAGGUCCGAUAACUGGGGUGAAGUCGUAACAAGGUACC